rnacentral:rRNA from 1 species
CCUACGGGAGGCAGCAGUGGGGAAUAUUGGACAAUGGGGGGAACCCUGAUCCAGCGACGCCGCGUGAGUGAAGAAGUAUUUCGGUAUGUAAAGCUCUAUCAGCAGGGAAGAAAGAAAUGACGGUACCUGACUAAGAAGCCCCGGCUAACUACGUGCCAGCAGCCGCGGUAAUACGUAGGGGGCAAGCGUUAUCCGGAUUUACUGGGUGUAAAGGGAGCGUAGACGGCGAUGCAAGUCUGAAGUGAAAGGCGGGGGCCUAACCCCCGGACUGCUUUGGAAACUGUAUGGCUGGAGUGCAGGAGAGGUAAGUGGAAUGCCUAGUGUAGCGGUGAAAUGCGUAGAUAUUAGGAGGAACACCAGUGGCGAAGGCGGCUUACUGGACUGUAACUGACGUUGAGGCUCGAAAGCGUGGGGAGCAAACAGGAUUAGAUACCCCAGUAGUC